GCGAAAGCUGGUUAUAUAUUAUAUAUAACUUGGAGUCUCUCUUGUAAAAUUCUGAGUAGAUUUAUGAUAAUGACAUUUUCUACUCAUAUGUCUUGACCAAAUCACGUGCCAGCAGUCGCGGUAAUACGUGGAAGACUAGUGUUAUUCAUUUUUAACAGGUUUAAAGGGUACCUAGACGGUUUAUCAAGCCCAUUAAAGGGUACUAAUGAACUAGAGUUUUAUAUAAGAGGGGGUGUACUAAAGAGUGUAGAGAUGAAAUUCUGUGAUACCUUUAUUGGAACAGGCAACGGCGAAAGCAACCCUUUAUGUAAAAACUGACGUUGAAGGACGAAGGCUCAGUACACCAACAGGAUUCGAUACCCCAGCAGUCUGAGCAGACAAUGAUGAAUGUCAUAUAUAAGAAUAAUAUUUUUUUUUAUAUAAAUGAAAAUGUAAGCAUUCCACCUCAAGAGUAAUGUGGCAACGCANAAACUGAAAUCAUUAGACCGUUUCUGAAACCAGUAGUGAAGUAUGUUGUUUAAUUAGAUGACCCACAAAGAACCUUACCACAACUUGAAUAUUUUUAUACAAGCGUUGCACGGCUGUCUUCAGUUAAUGUCGUGAGAUUUUGGUUAGCUCCAUAAAAUUAACGUGAACCCUUACUUUAUUUUUUUAUUGAAACCUAUAGACAUUUAUAUGCUAUAGAAAGAUUAAUGUCUUUUUCAUUCAUUAAUAUUCAUUAGUUAAAGUUGUUAACCGCUAUAUUGGUAUAGUUAUAACAGGGACUAGGACAAGUCAUCAUGGCCUGAAUAUU
rnacentral:rRNA from 1 species